rnacentral:lncRNA from 1 species
GAAAAUUUUAGUAAAUUAUAGUCAAUUUUUAUGCAAUGAAACUAUAUAGCUCUUUUUGUUAGAAAUUGUCUUACUAACUAAGCUGCUGGUGGUUCUGUGACGAAGUAGCUCCUGUUGGCUUCCCUUACACCGGGUCAGACACAGGACAUUAAUUAAGGCUGUGUGUGGUGUUUCUGAAAGGUGAGGAGACUGGGCAUUCUGUCUUUUACUCUACAGAUACAUCGUGGGAGACUCAAAGAUUAAAAUGUGGCCACUCACUGUGGAUCAGAAGCAGAAUCUCACAUCAUAACCCCAAAUGACCUGUUACUCACCAUGUGGCCCAGCUGUCUUCAAACUCACCAGCCUCCUGCCUUAGCCUUCUAAAUGCUUGGAUUACAGGCAUGACCCACCAUAACUGGCUUUGUUUUAGUUUCAGAGAAGAUGAAACUGAUGUGCGUCAAAAAGUAAACUACCCACAUUUUAACUGGGCACAUUCCUGUCAAUCUGAUGAGAAUCUAUUUCAUACCCUGCUUUAGCUGGUAGUCUGUCAAGGAAAUGAGCUGAACAUGUCUGUGUACAGCUUUUGUGCCAUCCCUGGAUGAGCGAGCUGUCUGCCUCUAUGUUCUCCACAAAAUGGAAUAUAGCUGUACACCCAAGCCAAGUUAUGGAGGCUGGGAAGACCUAGAAUGUGGCAUCACUAUUUGGAAACCAUGCCGAUUACCGACCGAGCUCUCAAUGGAAAAAUGCAGUCGGCGUGAACCACGCACGAACACAGCAGAGAAAGAAGAAAACACACACCACGAGGAACCCUAAUAGGACAAUACAUUAUAAGUCACAGUGCUACGGAGAAACCCAGUAGCCACAUGGAAGCAGAGACCAUGCAUAUGCAUCUACUCCGCAGCUCUGUGAAUGUCAGCAGCUCCCACGGACUGGAGAUCCCGUGAGAUCCCGUGAGAUCUCACCCAUAGCCUCAUGGUACAUCCACUUGGUGUGCUGGGAGAGUCAGGAUGAGGACCUGAGAAGAACAGCAGCUUGAACCUGACUUCAUUUAACAGCCCACUGCCCUCUUGCCAAGAACCCAUCACAGACCUUCCCAGAAGAGAGGGAUGAGCCUCACCUAUGAAUAAGUCCUCAGAAACUCAAAUUUGAUUCUAAUGGAUUGUUUUCUCAGAAAGACUGAGCAUGUCCCCCCACAUCUCUGUCAUUUCCCACAGUAGUAACCUCUGCAGAUGCCACAUAGAAAACAAAACAAAACAAAAAAACAUGAGGUUGGUGGGCAGAUAGGCAGGGUAUAAACAAACAGCCUUGUAACCCAGAAGCUGUGUGAUAUACAGUAAACUUCACAACACUGAAAAGAUGUCCUAUCUGUUAAAAUGGGGUAAUAACAACUACCCGAAUGUUUAGGAAUAGAACUUCAAUAAAUGAUACAUUUUAUAGUACAGCAGACCAUCCUGUAAAGGUUUCAUCCUUCACUGUGGUGAUAAAUAUCCCAAACCACAUUGAAAAGCAUUGCAUCUACAUUUAUCUACACUGUAACUGUACUGUAAAUCAUGGGGGAGGGGAGAAUCAUAAAAACACCACCUGUCACCGUGUCAUUAAAGCAAGUUGGAAGUGAUACUUACAGAAACACAGCAAGAGCACCCCCAGUCACACAGUUCAAUCUCUUAGCAAGCGUUUUCUUUCUAGCCCAGUGGUUCUCAGUUUGGAAUUUUUGGCACUGCCUAGAGAUAGUUUUGUUGUUAAAACUGAGAAAAGAGCCGGGCGUGGUGGCACACGCCUUUAAUCCCAGCACUCAGGAGGCAGAGGCAGG